AAAAUGUUUCACUGCUUUAGUUUUUGUUCCGUUCAGGAACUAAGCAAAGCCAUCCUUUAAUCAGUUUUAAUGCUGGUGUUCAGCAUUAUUAACCUUUUACGCAAUUUCCACUCAACACCGUUUAGCACUCCGAUGUUUGUAUUAUUAUUCCGCUCAUCUAGUGUAUAAUGGAAAACGGUAUUCCCACUAACCAACUGAAGCAUUCCUUUUCUUAAGGAAAAAUAUAUUGGUGGGUUACAGACCCAAGGACAAUAUAUAAAAAAAAGUAUUUAUUGUAUUUGAGAGGAGACUUUGGAACUAAUAGAUUUGAUAUCUUUAUGGGUGAUGUUAACUAAUUUAUUUAUUAUUUAGUAUAUUUGUGAGCAGUUUAGUUUUUGUACGAUGUCAGGAAGCAAGGGGUUUUUUUUUAGCAUGGCGUACUUUAUAAAUCUUCUUUUGAGCUUGAUUUAAUUUGUCGUCUUAUCAAAUUAAGCAUAUAUUUCGUUUAUCCCGUUUGACAACUGUGAUCGCUUGUAGUCAUUAUCGCUAAUUUGGUGCGAAUAUGUACAGGGUAUUUUGUAGACGGAUGACCUUGGUUAAUGAAGACGUUCGUUUACGUUUUCCCCUUUACUGUCUCUAUCUAUCGCUUAGCUUGAAAACGUUGUUUAGCAAGUGAAUGUACGGAUGAUGAAAACCUUUAAUAACCAUUAAAGCUUUCGUGUGGAUCCGGAGACAUUUUAAUGAAUACUGCGACAGAGUUUGUUUUGUUUUUGUUGACAAAAAACGGGCGAUCCCAAUUUUUAACAAGUUCACGGUAGGAUAGAUGGAGAGGGUAAAUAGACGUGUACGGCUAGAUAUCAACUACGUGAUGAAGCUGUAAUUCCUGUCUAAAGGAUUUAGCAAAUCGCUGUUUUUUUUUAGAGAGAGAGUGGCAUUCACUGUUGAGAGUGAUGAACUUUUUUAAAAAAGGAUGGAAAACGAAAAACCCAUUGUUUCGUGGUUUUGUUAUAUUAAACCGUUCCGUUCUAAGCUUUAAAAAACCAAUUUUACCAAACUAUUAAUCAUACGUCCGCUGGAAAACGACGCGAUCGCUAAAUAAAUAUUUAUGUGAAGAGGAUUGGUAUCAAGGAAAGUUUAAUAAAUUCCUUACCUAUAAA